UACGUAGGGUGCAAGCGUUAAUCGGAAUUACUGGGCGUAAAGCGUGCGCAGGCGGUUUUGUAAGUCUGUCGUGAAAGCCCCGGGCUUAACCUGGGAAUUGCGAUGGAGACUGCAAGGCUUGAAUCUGGCAGAGGGGGUAGAAUUCCACGUGUAGCAGUGAAAUGCGUAGAGAUGUGGAGGAACACCGAUGGCGAAGGCAGCCUCCUGGGCCAGCACUGACGCUCAUGCACGAAGCGUGGGAGCAACAGG
rnacentral:rRNA from 1 species